rnacentral:rRNA from 1 species
GUAACAGCGUGCAGUGCGUCACGGUAAGACUUGUGUGGGAAGCGGUGUGCUGAAUUACUGGGCGUAAAGGGCGCGCAGGGGGUUAUUCAAGUCGAAUGUGAAAUCCCCCGGCUUAACUGGGGAGUGUCAUUCGAUACUGCUUAACUUGAAGGCAUGAGAGGUUAGUGGAAUUCCCGGUGUAGUGGUGAAAUGCGUAGAUAUCGGGAGGAACACCAGUGGCGAAGGCGACUACCUGGCCUGUUCUUGACGCUGAGGCGCGAAAGCUGGGGGAGCAAACGGGAUUAGAUACCCCAGUAGUC